rnacentral:tRNA from 1 species
UCCCUGGCAGUCCAAUGGUUAAGACUCUGCACUCCCAAUGCAGGGGGUACAGGUUUGAUCCCUGAUCAGGGGA